CGGGAUGUAGCCCAGUGGCUAGGGCGCCAGCUUUGGGAGCUGGAUAUCGUGGGUUCGAGUCCCACCAUCCCGACUA
rnacentral:tRNA from 1 species